AUCUGAGAUUCAGUACUUGCAACACUCAGGGCUUCCCAGGUUCAGAAACUCAGCCAUUCAGAACAUCUGAGAAGAAGUACUUGCACAACUUGGACCUACAGUAGAAGGCAUUCAAAAGAUGACUUCUAGAAGAGACGUUGUGUUCAAGUUGGCAGCAGUUCCACCUCGUGCUCAGUCCACAUGUUGACCAGUCACUGAUUUGCCGGCGGUCACCUGAUCGUGGAAGGAAAAGCGCAUUUAUUCCGGCUCACUGCUCCCAAGCAGCGCUCAUUUUUCCACAAAUUUAGUCAAGUGUUCCUGGAAGCCAGGAAGAAAAAAAAAUCAUUUUAAAUGAGCUGGAACAUUUUAGUGAGAGACUUUUUGCGAGGCGAGCGGGGGCAUUUUGUGAUGAACGGCACGAUGAGGGCCAGAUGACGGAAUACGAAGCGUACAAUUAUCUCCCAUUCACUUCUCCUGCUAUUACACAGAGUCAAAGGGGCCUGCACUUGAUCUGAAUAUAACUUCUUACUAAUGCAUUCCGUCAAGACGGGUGGGUUAUUCACGGCGCAACACACACACACACACACACACACACAAAAAAAAACAUCUGUGCCAUCCGUUCAUACUGUAGCUGCCAGAUCUUUACUUGUAUUUUUUUUAAUCGUGUCACAGUUUCUAACACUAGUACAAUAUUUCAAAAACAUUUUUUUUAACACUGGAGACUCCUAUAAAUUCUGGAAAAAAUAAAAAUAAAAUAAUUAAUUAA